GGGCCCGCACAAGCGGUGGAGUAUGUGGUUUAAUUCGAUGCAACGCGAAGAACCUUACCAGGGUUUGACAUCCUGCGAAUCUUUUGGAAACGAGAGAGUGCCUUCGGGAACGCAGUGACAGGUGGUGCAUGGCUGUCGUCAGCUCGUGUCGUGAGAUGUUGGGUUAAGUCCCGCAACGAGCGCAACCCACGUCUUUAGUUGCCAGCAUUUAGUUGGGCACUCUAGAGAGACUGCCGGUGAUAAACCGGAGAAGGUGUGGAUGACGUCAAGUCCUCAUGGCCCUUACGUGUUGGGCUACACACGUGCUACAAUGGUAUCUACAACAGGAAGCAAAACAGCGAUGUUAAGCAAAUCCUUAAAGAUACCUC
rnacentral:rRNA from 1 species